GAGGGUGUAGCUCAGUGGUAGAGUGCAUGAUUAGCAUGCAUGAGGUCCUGGGUUCAAUUCCUGGUACCUCCA
rnacentral:tRNA from 1 species